UACGAAGGGGGCUAGCGUUGCUCGGAAUCACUGGGCGUAAAGCGCACGUAGGCGGGUCGUUAAGUCGGGGGUGAAAUCCUGGAGCUCAACUCCAGAACUGCCUUUGAUACUGAAGAUCUUGAGUUCGGGAGAGGUGAGUGGAACUGCGAGUGUAGAGGUGAAAUGCGUAGAUAUCUGGAGGAACACCGGUGGCGAAGGCGGCAUCCUGGACCGACACUGACGCUGAGGAGCGAAAGCCAGGGGAGCAAACGGG
rnacentral:rRNA from 1 species